CUGACUGCCACCGGGGAAGAAUCUCUUUUGGAGAUCCCUCCUCUUGGAGUCUUCUCAAUGAGCCCAGGACAAGGUCAGAAAGGGAAAAGUCCUCAGGAAUAGGAGGGAUCAAAGUGUGCUCUUGUGAGAAGUACUUCGUCUUGAACGGGCAUCCAUUAUGUGGACUGGAACCAAGACAAGGAUGUUGGAUAGAACAGCCAUGACAAGAGGAGGAAUAUUGUAUUAUUUGAGGGAAGACCAACCAAACAAAUGACAGUAACCACCACCACCAAGAAAAGGAAGAAAAUGUUUUCACUUACUUGUCUUAUUUAUUUGCAAGGCUUCUUCUAAUGUCCUCACCCACCCGGAACAGUUUUUCUGACAAGUCUAGCUCUGCUUGCCAGUGUGCUAUUUGCCGCAAGCUCUCCUGAUGCAUGCUUUGGGCUCUCUCCAUUUCUGAUGUCAGAGCUGCAAUUCUCUGCCUCUGUUCCUUUCUAAACAUUGCUUCUCUGGCAUUGAUCUCCUCUAGCUUGCUUUGAGAAGCUGCCUGCAUCGGAAGAAGACAGUGCAACUUGAAGGAACAGGGAGAGGCAGACAGUGCCACAUCCAUGUGUCCUUGCAGCCAGUUCCCAUACCCAAUGGAAACAAGAUAGCCCUGCUCAGUGAAGGAGCCGUGCUUCAUCCCUACCAUCAACACUCAGGGAAGAAGUCAGAACUGACUAAAUGUCUUUCUGUUAUUUUUACCUCAGAAAGAAACAUACCUGCUCUUCUGCUGUUUUUACAUGAAAGCUAGUAUUGAGCCACCUCCAACUCUAUAAGGAAGGGGAUGAGGAAAAGGCUGCCUAUUUCUUAUGCACCAAGAUCACACGACACACACAGAGACACUUUCAUGCAUCUCUCUUCAGCUCUCCAGCUUCCUUACAAGGAAGCCAGAGGCUCUGCACUAACAGAACUAAGUGUAAGAACUAAAUGUGUAACAGAAAACUCCCAAAAGCAAUGAGCGCAGCGACAACUCAAUGCGGUGUGGAUACAGAUAGGAAUGGCACAUCAGUUUACCGGAGAAAAGAGGCUGGGCUCUUGCUUCGGCCCCGUUUCUUUUGGAGCACUUUCUUCGUGCCACCUUCCACUCUGUGAGAAUGGGCUACAGCCCGCUGCAGUGGCCUGUGGGCAAUAAUGGUGAACCAGGUCCUGCAGCGCCCGAUUUGUCAUUUCUAGCUGCAGCGAGUUCUGCCGUUCCAUCUCCAGCUGUACGGAAAGUUCAAACACCUGCAUGCAGUGGAAAAAAACAAUCUCCCUUAAUCAGAGUGCUCUAAAAUCCCCACAUCCUGGGGAACUCAUUCACAUGUGUGUGUUGAUGGAGCCCCUAGCGUAAUGCGCUAAGGCUGUAACUUUUGCCAAGGAAAAGAGGUGCGUUUUUUCUAAAGCAAGCACGACUUUCUAAUCUUUGCUGAGAAGACUGAUGCAGUCUUGACCCUUCUUUCCAGAACGGCUCCAAAGGAAAGGCACUCGACUCCAAUGAAUUAUGCAACUCCCAUGCCUGUGAAGUAAUGCUCCCGCCACAGACCUCCCUGGAGACAGCUAGUUGGAGAGGUAGAGAACGGGAUGCGUCCCAGCAGCAGUCAGUGCAAGUGGUUUGCACAACACCCAUCUCCUGAGCUGAAAUUGUUUAUAGGGGAGGAAAGCAGCAGGUGCUGAUAUUUUCAUCCUGAAUUACGGCGGCACCAGUGGGAAGUGGACAAGAAGAGCGGUCCUGUUCUCUGCCGGUGCUUUCACCGCAAACCAGGCUGGCUCCUUUCCUUUUCAUUUGCACUCACCUCUGCUAAUGUCCUCUCAGCGUGGAGGGAAAAUGCGAGAGAGUACUUUUGUUUGUCACCAACGCUACUAACAGGGAACAAAGAUCUCAUUUUGCUGUUGAGAACUUGCAAACAGAGCUGCUGAACUCAGAGACGCUUUGUGAGGGCAUGCCUUGUGGUGUCACAGUACUGCCACUACAUCAGGAAAGGCAUCAGAACAGCAGCGAGUCUCGAAGGAGGACAAGCUGCUGCACUCUUCCUUCCCUGGAUGCUGCUCCCAAGCCACUGCUUUGCCCCUCAGCCUGAAAAUGAGCUCCCCGAGAAGCUGCUUGUGUUCUGUGAAGUGACAGGGGAGGAGGCAAGGAGAGUAAUGUACUCUAAGGACCGAGUAAGAGCUUCCACUGCCCCUUUGCAGCAAGGGAUUGCCUCUUACUUGUGGCUGAAAGCGGAUGGCUUUGUUGAUGUUUCAGAUCAGAUCAUGCUCUGAUCAGGAAAACCAUUGCUAACAAUGAUGUGUCUUUUACUGCUGUCAGAUAAAUGCAUCCUGCACUUGUUUUCAGAUUAUUUCUUCUCUUGCACUAUUUAGGAGAAAAGAACAGCUUAACCUGUGCUCACAGGCAUUGCAUACCCUGACAUUAGCCUUGUCCAAGCCUUCUUUCAGCAUCAAGAUGUCAUUCUCCAGGUAACGGCAGUAAUCUUCAGAAUGCUUCAGAGAUGUUUCUGAAGCCGACUGCUUUCUGAAACUGUUGGCAAGUUUCUUCCGCAUUUUUUCUUCUCGCCUCUUUUCAAACUGCGCUGAUAUUUUAUAAUCUGCUUCCGCAGCCUCCAGGCGCUGCUUGAGAACAGCCUCCUUCACUCGCAGCUCCUCAUGUGCCCUUUUUUGCAGCAGCAACUUUGAGUGCUCCAACUCCAGCUGUGCAUAAAGGUCACGCACCUGUACGCAGUGGAAAAACAACAGUGUCUUAUGUUUGUUCUCAUCUUAUUGCUUCUCUUUCACUCGUUGGAGGAAGUGAACAGCUUCGCCCCUAUCAAGGCGUGUUCACAGAUGUUGCAUACCUUGGCAUUAGCCUCAUCCAGAUCCUCUUGCAAUUUCAGGUUUUCUUUCUUCAGUGAGUCACUUAAGUCAGCAGAAGUUUUCAGGGAUGCUUCUGCAAUCUGCUGCUUUCCAACAGCCUCAGCAAGCUCUUGUUGCAGCCGUCCAACUAUUCUCUAGAGAAAUGUGUGAAACAAAAGGUAAAAAACUAAAGCCUGCAUUUUUACUUCUGCUUACCAGUUCCUAUACUUAGAUCAUAUUUCUGAGUGAACCACAAAGGGAAGAAAAGUGGUAGAGGAGAAUUGCCCAACACUCACUGGGGUGCAGAGCUGGGAUUUGCCACUUGCAAAUGGCAGCAGAAAGGGAACAAAACAGAGGCAACUCGAGGAAUGGCCUUCCAGGCAGGUAGCUCAUAGCUGGUAAAUUCUAGAAGUGCCAGAUGCCUUUGGGAGCUGCUCUACUUCAGUGUCCACCUGACCUUUUUCUUGUACUUUGUUUCACGUUUGCAGACAUCACACUGCUCUUACCUGGUUGGUGUUCCGCACAUCUUCCAGCUGCUGACGCAGUGAAAGGUUUUCAUGCUGGAGCUGGGCCACUUGUUCCUGCAGAACUUCCCACUCUGCAGUUUCUUUUCUUGGUUCACCUUUUGCAAGGCAUGAAGCACAACAUUCCUUUGCCUGCCUCUGGGUCUGGAAAAGUGCUCUUUCUGUUGCUUCUAAAAGCAAUGCCUCUUUCUUGAGCGUUUCUUCCCAUUGCUCCAGUGAUCUCUUUUGCCUGUGAGCUCUCCUAUUGGAUUUCUUCUGCUGCUGACUUAAGGUCUCGUUGCUUUUUUGCAACUCAGGGAUGUUCCCAGAGAGGUUUUCCACGCAGGAGAGCUCAAGUUGUGUCUUAAAUCCCUGCUUUUUAUCAUCUGCUGAGCUUGAGUGACUUUCAGAAGUCUCAGUGAGACUGA